rnacentral:misc_RNA from 1 species
GUCGAUGAUUGGUUCUUACAGAUGGUUCCGAGAAAAAAUUAUACUCCCAACCAGUUAGAAAAAACCUUAGAAGCUGUAAAAAAAAAUGGCGAAAAGAUUGCAGUCGCAUACCAUUUUUGGCGCGAACUUGUGGAGGCAUAUGCCCAGUAGUAGACUGCAAUAAGCUGAAAUGAUGAUGAUGAAACUUUUUGAUAAUUGCAAACGAAGAAAAGCCGACUUCAAUUAUAUCGACAAGUAAUACAACGUAGGUAGACGAAAAAUUAGUCAGGUAAAUACGCAUUAUCAAAGAUUACUCAAAAAGUUGUAAUCAGAUCUCGAUGAAAUUUAAAUGUGACCACGUGAUAACGAUUAAAUUAAAAAUCAUUAAAAUCGGUACACCCAGUAAAAAUUAUGCGGAUUUUCGAGAGUUUCCCCCGAUUUCUC